AAUGAACUGGUUCAUGACAUAUAUCCCAUAAGUUCUGAUUGGUCCUCAAUGUCUUUAUAGGCCAACAGAAGCACUCGACUCACCAGUUCUUCCCAGCGGUCCUUGAGCCUCUCUGUCCACCUGGAAGCCUCUGCCUGAUCCCUGUUUCUAGCUCUCUGAAGAUGAAUUUGUGGCUCCCUCUCCUGCUUGCAGGCUCCGUCUUUGUAUUGGUGGGUGCAGGUUCUGAGAAACAGAAGCGAAGAGCUUUUGGUUACUUCCAGUACAUGCCUACAUCGCAUCUGUGUGGUAUCUUAGCUUCAAAGGUCUAUGAGCGCCGCCGGAUUGAGCCCCCCUGGUUCCUAGUAUCUUUAGAAGCCAAUAGAGAGGCCAGCACCCUGCUCCAGUUGAAUAUGACAGUGGGCAACGCGGUUACUGGAGAAGAAUGUCUCUUAAUGACAAGACUGACAAGGCGUCCCAGAAGAUUUGCUGUUUGAAAAGAUGCACAUACCCCUCUGUAAUAAUAAAAGCAGAGAUUGAUUCCUGGUAAGGAAGCAAAAUAAA